rnacentral:lncRNA from 1 species
UUUGAAGCACUAAGAGAAAAUGGAAACAGAGGAUCGCUUGAUCCCAUUCCAGACCAGAACUGGAUCUAUCGUUUCAUUGAAAACAAACAAAGUGGUCGGCUCAGCAAACCGCAUCGAUCAAUGCAACUUUCUAAUCGAUCGAUUUAAAAUUGCAAACAAAGUAAUAGAUCGAUGCAACAUCCCAAUUGAUCGAUUGGACGAGCACAAGACGAAAAAAUCUGUCAGGAAAAAAUGCAUUGGUCGAUUGAAAAAUCUGAUCGAUCAAUAGGACCCGCACGAGCAG